CCUUUCUGAACAUCUACAUUUGGUAG
rnacentral:piRNA from 1 species